rnacentral:lncRNA from 10 species
UGUAGUUCCUGUAAUUCCCAUAUAUCGUGGGAGGGACCAGGCGGAGACAAUUAAAAUAUGGGGGCAGUUUCCCCAUCCUGUUCUCAUGAUAGUGAGUCAGAUCUCACAAGAGCUGAUGGUUUUAUAAGGGGCUUCCCCCUUUGCUGGGCACUCAUUCUUCUCUUCCCUGCCACCAUGUGAAGAAGGAUGUGUUUGCUUCCCCUUCUACCAUGAUCAUAAGUUUCCUGAGGCUUCCUCAGCUGGGCUAAACUCAGGACCCUCGCCAGUGGCUGUAACUGCCUCUAAACUGCCUGCCUGACUGGAAUCCAUCCCCCGCACCAUGGGAAGAUCGUCUCUUCUGAGAUACUUACUUCACGUACUCCAGAUCCUUCCCUGGCUUUUUUUUUUUUUUUUUUUUUGACGGAGUUUGCUCUUGUUGCCCAGGCUGGAGUGCAGUGGCUCACCACAACCUCCGCCUCCCAUGCCUGACAAGGAAGACCACAUGCUGAGUGGAAGGUGGGGGGCAUGCAUAGUGCCUGGCACCUGGUGGCACCCCUGACUGAGUGUCUCACUGACAGGGACUUGAGGAACUGUCUUGGGGAAGGGAAGAUCUUUGCUUUUGUGAUGACACCAACGUAUGAAAGACGUGCAGGGCCCAGUGGAGUUGGCUGGCUUUUAUUCAGCUGUAAGGAUGACCUGCAGAUGGGCAAUUAGAGGAUGCGUGUGAGAGCCAGGAGACCUCUUGGGUAGCUUGCUAAGAGUUUCUGCAGUGGAACAGAAGACGCACCUCAGGGCUUGAAGGCUAGAGUUGCAGAGCUCCAGAGAUGUUUACGUGCUCAGUCAAGUCAGGGGUUAUGCUAAGGUGGAUGUCUUGGUUGGGAAAACCUAGAGAAUCUUAAAACAUAGGAUUGGGACGUCUGGGUGAAUGGCCCUGAGCAGCUGAGCUCUGCUGAACCCCUGCAGUCUCAAAGCUCGCAGUCUUUGCUGCCCUCCCUAGCAAGAGCUGACAUGCUGCCCAUGGGAACUCACUGCAGAGGUCUCUCCCUGCAAAGCAAGGAGUGCUGGUCCCAGAGGAGCUGCCCUCACACCUGCUCUGACUGCUGAGUUGAUAACAGCCAAACUUGUCUUGAAAUGAUGCAGCCCGGAUGAGCCACACGGGACCCUCAGGCAGGAGCUGGCUGAUGAGGAUCUGUGGGCACGGGUUUGCCUUUCUUGUCGGCAUAGCAUCACCCAGCGCCAAGUGACACUGACUUACACCUGACCGGAGGGCUCUCCUCACAGCUACGGAGGUGGAAGGCAGCCCCAUGACCAUGGAAUCCAUUGGUUAUGUUACAUCCCACGUUACCCAGCGACAGCGGCCCCCCAGAGCUCUGGAACAGCCUGCUUCAGGCACUGUCACAGAGCAGCUUGGAGACAACAGCCUGCAAGGACAUAGUGUGUGCACUCAAUCAGAGCCCUCCUUAUGCCAGUGAGUCCUGGGUAGGGGGAACACCUGGGUUGGGGAGCGAGCAAGGGGUGAAAGCAGGCAUGGACCCCCUCACAUCACUCCUCUUGACCAACUGAAGGAGAUCCUACCUCCCGCCUCCGCAGCUCUGGGAUCUGCAGGAUGGGAGGGCCAAGCCCCUCUGCCACAGCGGUGGCUCCUGUCUUGUUGCUGCGUACUGCUCGUGUCCAGGGACGAGCCGUGAGAAUUGGAGCCACCGUCUUGGUGAGGGCAUGGCCUUGCCAGCAGGAAAAGAGCUGCUUUUCCACAAUGGGACAGGGAAGAAUGCACACGGGAGUCAGGCAGCCCCUCUGCCAUCCCAAACAACUGCAGCUAGAAAUAUGCAGCAGCCCUGGCCUGAGAAGGGAUGAAAGCUGAGGGCCCACACUGCCCACACCACCAGUUGUGCCCCUGUGAUGGGUUGAAGUGUGUUACCCAACAAGAUGCAUUCGUGUCCUAACCCCUGAUGCCUGAGGAUGUUAUCUGACUCGGAACAGGGUCUUUAUAGAUGGAAUGAAGUUGAGAUGAGGCCUCGAGGAUGAGCCCUGAUCUAAGAUGACUGGUGUCCUCAUGAGAGGAGGAGAGACAAAGCCAUAGACAGAAGACAGAAGAGGCUGGAGUGAUGCUGCCACCAAAGGAGGAUCCUCCCACAAAGGCAUCUGAGGGAGCCUGGCCCUGCUCACACCUUGGUUGCAGGCUUCUGGCCUCCAGGACUGCGAGGGAGUCACUGCUGUUUUAAGCCACCAGCUUGUGGGGCUUUAUUAUGGCAGCCACAGCAAACUGGUGCAGCCACUAAGACCUGAAUAAGUGGCAGCUCCAUAGAGGAUGGUGGGCUCAGGUGGUCCCCAAGGCCAAUGUGUGGCAGGCAGUGGUUGUCCCAUUAUCCUGUCUCUUCUGUGUUUCCCUUCUGAAAGAGGCUCUCAAGCACUGGGAGUGGUGUCCUCACACACAUGCAGGAGGGGUUCUGUGUGGCCAUGGAGGGCACCUGCCAUGGGGACCCAGGUGACAGAUGGCUCCCACUGCAGCCGUCUUGCCAAGACCAUGCAUCCCCUGGGCUGUCCCCGGCACUGAAUGAGCACAGCUGGGCACUGGGACCAGGUCACUUCUGCCAAGCACAGGUGCCAGCCUUGCCUGGCUGCUUCCCCUUCAUCCUUCACAGACUCCCCCCACCCUAGAACUCUCCCGCUGAUGCAAUGCUGCCUGAAGACCAGAACUGAUAUAGGGGAACGUCGCUGUCCUCACAUACGUCACAGAAGCAUCCCGCUGUCAGCCUCCCAUCAAAUACCUCGAGAAGCUCUUUCUGCAACUGCUCGUCUUUCUACUACAACCAGAUAAUUGGGAGAUUUCAUUGGGAUGAACAAAAAGGAAAGAAGCUUCUGAUGCGUUGGCAUCCACUGUCUUUCAAUUAAACCAUUCAGCGAGAGGCCAAGGCCUACCCCAUCCUGUGCAGUCAGGAAUGGCUGGAGCAUCGUCGGAAACCGUGGGCGCUGGGCCAGGGAUGCCGGGGAAUGACAUCAUUUCAUUGUGUUCGCAUGACCAUGGAAGGCCUGUGUUACACACACCGGAUGAAGUCACCAGAAUGCUAGGGAACAGAGAAAGCCAGGGGUAAGAAUAAAGAAACCCUUGGCAAAGGCUUGGGAGACAGGAAGGUUGAAAAGAGGGGCAGAGAGGAGUCUGUGUUUAUUGUCAGUGGUCUGGCAUUCUGGGUUUGAAAAUAACAUCUGCUUCACUCGCUGCCUUCCCUCCACCUACCCACGGGCUCUGGGACCCAGGAACCUCGACGGAGCAGAAACCCGUAGGCGCCAUCGCUGGGAUAUUUGCCAGUUACAGCUCAUUUUUCUCCAUGUCAGGAUACAAAAAAGAGAAUGGAAGAAGGGAGCUUGAUACACAUAUAUCUUAAAACUCUUAUUUUGUCAAAAAAAUGUACAGUUUUAGCAGCGGCACUUUUUUAAAAAAGAAAUGUUAUUUUUCUCACAAUCCUUCUUAUAUUCCUGGAAAUAUUUUCUAUAUUCCUCAAAAGGCAAAUAUUUACUUAACUCAGGUUUUAUAAACUGGAAAUAGAUUGCCUAAUAAUGAAGAAAAUAAGAAUAUACAAAUGUAUGAAUAUGAAAUAUAUAUGAGAUAUUCAUAUCUAUAUGGAAGAAGACCAAAAGUGUAUUAAUAAUGAAGCAAAUAAGGAUGUACAUACAUAUAUAUAUGGAAACAAAAAGUAGAUUAAUUUUGCAGAGUAUAAUUUUACCCUUACAUACUCCAGUGUGUAUUAUGCAACAAUAGGAAAAUCUUUUUCCAUAACCACAGUGGAGUUCUCCACUUGAGUCACUUUCACGUUGAUACAGCACAGUAUCUGAUCCACAUCUGUAUUCCAUUUUGCAGUUGCCCGAUAACGUCCUUUAUAACUUCUGUUCCCUCCAGGACAGGAUCCAGCCUAGAGUCAGAUACUGCAUUUAGUUGUCACGCAUCUUCAGUCUCCUUUUAUCUAGAACAUUUCCUCAGCCUUUUUCUUUUACAACGUUGAAACUGUUGAAGAAUAUCGUGCCCCUCCCCUUUUGUUAGUAGGCAGGUCCUCACUUUGGGUUUGUCUGUUGCUUCAUCGUGAUUGGAUUCAGGGAGUGCAUUCUUAGCUGAAACACUGCAGAGGUGACGGUGCGUCCGGGGAGUUACACCUGGAAGCACGCAGUGCUCCUCUCUUCCUCAUCUAUGGUGUUAAUUUUGAUCGCUCAACCAAGGUGUUGUCCAAUUUCUCCACCUCAUUAUUUUUUGAACUGAACAAGCAGAUUGUGAGGAGAUAUUUUGAGCUCCUCGUCAAAAUUUCCUCUUAAAUUUGCCAUCCACUGAUGAUUCUUGUCUGAUCCAAUUUUUAUUCUAACACACGCAAAACUCCAGCACUGUCUCCACAUUUCCCACAUGGCCUGCCACUGUGAGGAAGACCUCGCCCUUCUCCCUUAUUUGUUUAUUUGUUUACCCACUUAUUUAUCUAUUACUGGAUUGCUCUUGUGAUCUUGGUGCUCAAAUGCGCAUACGGUGCUGAAAUAAAUUUAUAGUAACUUUGUGCUUUAGUUUUUAAAAAUAAUUAAAUUACAUAUGUGCACAUAUAUACAUAUCCACAUAAAGUGUGUGUGCAUGCACAUGCAUGCGUGUGUGUGCAUGCACAUGCAUGCAUGUGUGUGUGCAUCAACCUAAGGGCCACAAAGCAACACAAAAAGAAAUUCAUAUCAUGUGACCCACAUGCUUAAAAAAUUAUUAAUAACUCACUGGGUCUUAUAAAUGGCAUUCUACCAAUUUUGAAAAUGUAUGUUGGCAUAAGCAAAACACAUUGAGAUUAUUACCAACCUAAACAAUCCCUAGUCUGCACAAAAUACAAAGAACUGUGGUAAAAUGAAAUGGCGACUAGUCCAUCUUCCACUGUGGGCCAUGGAGGACGCUUCUGGGAAAGACAUUAAAAUCUCCAUAAUUAUUAUUUAACAUGUAUUCGGCACCAUAAACGUACACAGAGAAGUGUGAUAAAUGAAGCUGUGCCCCAUCAGUAACAGUGUCUGCCCUGAGGAGUUGAGAGCCUGGAAAGAUGGCAUUCAUACGCCUAAUUGGGCAGUCCUGCACCCUAGGGAGAAAUAUCUUCUUGAAAGGAUAUGUUGCUUUCAUGAUACAUUUAGGAGCCUAUAGGUGAAUUAUAUAAAUUACUCCUUUUAUAAAUUACUCUUCAACAUGAUUAUUGAAAUAGCAUAAAUAAAAAAGAAAUUUACCAACACAGCCUAGUGAGAAAGGUAAUCUGUGUUAUCAAGUAACCCUCAGAGGUUUAAAACUGCCAAACUGAACCCCUUCGCCUGCUCCUGUACCCCAAGGGCAGGCUGAGUUAACAAACCCUGUUGAUUUAUGUAUCCAGCUGCAGAGAGGCCAAAUCUCUGCUUUCCCCUGUGCUCCACAUUAAUGAACAGGGAUGGAGCAGUGAGAUGAAAAUCAGGAAUUGGAAGCACACCAGUGACUGAGUAAACUUAGGUGAAUGUGCGACCCUUCCUGAGCCUGUCUCUGAAACACUACCAGUAGCCCUCAGCCCCUCUCUGUAUCAAAACUUGAUUUAUGUGAAUAGCUCAAGUCUGCCUUUUCUAUAUAAUUUGAAAAGCAUGCGUACUUAAUAAAGUUUUGGGAAUUUCAUUCGGAACAUCAUCCCAAAACUUUGGUAACGCUUGGCUUUUACCCCAUUUACUUUAAUAUAAGGAAGAGAACCGCUUAAUACUAAGAACCACUUAAUAAUAAUCUCUUUCCAUAGUACCUAUUUUCAGUAAAACAAACAAAAUAAAAAACAGAAACGCUGUCAUAUAAACUUCCUAUUUCUCUCACUUUUUAACAUAUUCAAGAUAAAGCUAGACACUCUGGAGAUGCCUAAUAACACUCGAUUUGGGAUAUCCGCCAAGAUGUGCAGCCUUAGAGGGCCAGCUUUACUUUUAACAUUUGCACGAUGCCUCCCUUGGGAAAUUUUUCACCUCUCACAGCCCUCUCCUUGGCCUACCCUCUCUCUCAAACCUGACAUCAUCCUCACUCCAAACUUUUAACAGCUUGGAAUUUUGUUUGGGGAAAGAAGAAGAGCUGAACGUCUCUGCCUUGACUUAAGCAGGAAUUUGGAGUUUGUAGGCGUUUACCCUUUUAACAGUGAAGCACCAGCAAGCACCAAAAUCUACAGUAUUUCCUUCUAUAUGAACCAUUUUUUAGGGAAGCCAACCUCCUUCAAUUUGUUUUCUUUAAAGGAAAGGGAAGUAACAAAAAGACAUAUUAUCCCAAUCUGUGGUAAAAAAUACACAGGGACAUUGGCUUUCAUGUUUCUGGACUUCUCAGUUCUCUCUUAUUCUAACUUUAUCCUUGGAUAUGGGACAUGCUGUUGAAUCUCUUAAGGAAGUGUGUCAGGAGAAAACUCAGAGAGGGUCAUGGAGGUACCCCUGGCCCUAACCAAGCUACAAGAACUGUUUCCUUUUAUCUUCUAAAUCUUUCUUACUUUAAAAAGAAGGAUUAAAAACUCUCUCUUCACUUGGUUUUCCAGCAAGAAAACUUUUUCUCCUAUAAAACAAAUAAACUUCCUACUACUUUUUCCAUUAUACCUAUUGGCUUUAUAUCAUAUGUAUCGUGUACAUAUGUAUCAUAUAUAUCAUGUAAAACAUGAUGUUUUGAAACAUAUACAUUGUGGAGUGACUAAAUCUACAUAAUUAACAUCCAUUACCUCACAUAAUUAUGACUUUCGUGAUAAGAACAUUUUACAUCUACUCUCUUAGCAUUGUUCAAGAACACAAUAUAUUACUAUUAACUAUAGUCACCAUGUUGUAUAGAUCUCCUGAACUGAUUCCUUCUGUCUAACUAAGCUUUUGUACCCUCUGACCGACAUCUCCGUGACAUCCCCUACAAAUCACCCCAACCUCUGGUAACCAGCAUUAUACUCUCUGCUUCUAUAAAUUCAACCUUUUCAGAUUUCACAUAUGAAUGAGAUCAUAUGGCAUUUAUCUUUCUGUGCUUGACUUACUUCACUUAACAUAAUAUCCGUCAGCUUUAUUUACGUUGUCACAAAUGACAGAAUUUCCUUCUCUUUCAAGGCUGAAUAGUAUUUCCUUGUGCAUAUAUAAGAAAAUACAGAAAAUGUUUUCCUAUAUUUAAGCAAAAAUACAUGUAAGAAUAUAUGAAUAUAUGUAAGAAAGUGUAGCACAUUUUUUUUAACCGUUUCUCUAUUGAUGGACACUUAGGUUGAUUCCAUAUCUUGGCUAUUGUGACUAGUGCUGCAAUGAACAUAGGAAUGCCGACAUCUCUUCCACAUACUGACUUCAUUCCCUUUGGCUCUACACCCAGUAGUGUCAUUGCUGGAUCACAGGUGGUUCUGUUGUCCAUAAUGGCUGUUCUAAUUUGUAUUCCCACCAACAAUGCACAAGGGUUCCCUUUUCUCAUAUUCUCACCUACACUUGUUAUCUUUUGUCUUCUUGAUAAUAGCCAUCCUAACAGGUGUAAAGUGAUAUCUCACUGAGUUUUUAAAUUUGUGUUUCCCUGAUGAUUAGUGAUGCUGAGGACUUUUUCAUAUACCUGUUAGCCAUUUGCAUGUCCUUUUUGGAGAAAUGUCUAUUCAGGUCCUUUGCUCAUGUUUUUGUUGGGCUAUUUUUUUCUGUCUUUUCAGUUGAGUUCCUUGUAUGUUUUGGAUCUUAACGCUUUGUCAGAUGUAGAGUUUAAAAAUAUUUUCUCCCAUCCCAUGCAUGGGCUGUCUCUUUGGUCUGUUAAUUGUUUCCCUUGCUAUGCAGAAGAUUUUUAGUUUGAUAUAAUUCCACUUGUCUAUUUUUGCUUUUGUUGCCUGUGUUUUUGGGGUCAUAUCCAAAAGAGUAUUGCCCAGACUAAUGUCAGGGAGUGUCUCCCCAUGUUUUCUUCUGGUAGCUUCAUAGUUUUAGGUCUUGCAUUUAAGGUUUUCACACAUUUUGAGUUGAUUUUUGCAUAUGGUAUGUGAUAAGGGUCUCAUUUCAUUCUUCUAUUAUGGAUAUCCAUUUUUCUCAACACCAUUUAUUGAAGAGACUAUCCUUUUCUCAUUGCAUGUUCUUGGCUCCUUUGUGCUUUGUAGUAUAUUUUUAAAGAUGGUGGUGCAGUGCCUACAGCUUUGUUCUUAUUUUUCAGGAUGGCUUUGGCUAUUCAGGGUCUUUUGUAGUUUCAUACAAAUUUUAGGAGUGUUUUUUCUACUUCUGUGAAGCCUAUUUGCUUAGAAUAUUUCUUCUCAUCAAACAGCAUCAUUAAGUGCUUAGUGGAUACUGUUAGAAAAAUCCUUCAAUUAUGAAAAUCACCAUGUAUACAUGGCUGUUUAAAAAGCAUAAUUUAUGUGCAUUUAUAGAACAAAAUCCAAAAAGAAAUAAUUGAAAGAACAGUUGUUUUUACCUUCUCCCACACAUAAACUCAACCCCUUAGGAAAUAUUAGCAUAGAACAACUUUUCUUGGAAUCUAGAGUUUAAGGCUCUUCAAUAAUUUUAAAAGAAACAAAAUAUAUAUCAGAAAUAUAAAAUAUGAUAACUGGGAACUUUAUAGGCUAUAGUUUCUAGUCCUUAAGUAAUAAAAUAUUAUAGUGAGUAUAAGAAUGAAAAUAAAUAUCUCAAUGAAAAAUUUCAAGCCAAUAUUCAAAAUAUAUCACUUAUGACUAUUUUAUAUUUAAAUGCCCAUGAUAUUCUAAAUUUUUUUAUUAAAAUGUUAAGUUGGAGCUGCAUUUCUAGCAGACAAGAUACCGUGGGUGACCCUGCCUUCUUUAUUGAGACAACUAAAAUGCUGGAAGAGAGAGAGAUGAGAGAUAGACGGUAAUAUUGCACCGCAUUUUUGAGUUGGCACAGAAGGAAUCUCAGAGGUCCAAAUGAAAAUGAAAGCAGGAACCUGGGAAAUAAGCAAGAACUGCCAGAACAAAAGUUGCCUUUUGUCUGGGGAUUUCAUCCAAGCCUUAGAGGCCUUGAGCUUCUGCUUUGAUGUGAAACCAGAGAUAAAAUCUAGGCCUGCCCAACAUGAGGAAUCUCACAGGAUGCCUUCCCAUAUAAAGCUGGGAUAGAGAAUGAAUAAAGCCACUCUUCAAAAGGGAAUUGAUGGCCUCAGGUUUGGCACUGUUUGCAUGCGGGGAAUAUGUGUAGCCCAAAGUCUGGUAGAGCACCAGGCAACUAGCAGAAGCAGAUCAGAAUUGUCCCCAGUUCAGGGGACCCAGGAAUAAAAAUAUUCCUGCAUGAAAUCCCAAAGAAAAUGAGUAGUUGACAAUUAAACAAGCAUAAAACACAGAAGGAAACAAACACAGCAUGCAUGAGUGCCAGUCAUAACAGGAGAUAGCAGAAGGAAGUCCGUAAGGGUUACAAAACAGCAAUGAUCAGAAUACACAUGUAUUACAUUUCACAUGUUUAAGCAAAGAAAAGCCUAGAAAUAGUAGAAAGUAGAACGAGUUUACUUAGAAACAUGAAAAUUUGAAAAAGAAUGACAUCAUAAUUUUAUCUUCUACAAAUGAUAUGAAAAUAAGUUAAUGAAUUAAACAUCAGGUUGGAGAAAGUUAAGGAAAAAAUUAGCGAAUUGGCAAACAGAGCUGAAGAAGUCAUCCAGAAUGCAGCACAGAUGAAAAAGAGAGGAGAAAUACGAUAGAGAGAUUGUGCCACCGAAAGAAAGUGGAACACUUUAACAUUUGUCUAACUAUAGUUCCAGAAGGAGAAAAUAAAUAUAAAGGAUAAGAAUCAAUGUUCAAAGGACAGUGAUAAUGGCUGGACAUUUUCCAGAAUUGCUGAAAUGUACCAAUUCUUACAGCCAAGGAGCCCAAUGUCAAUCAACAUUCAUGUCAAUCACAUAAAUAAAAAUCACAGCUGUGAAACUGCAGAAUAGUAAAGAACCAAGGAGGAAAGACAGAUCACCAGGAAGAAACAGGAUGAUGACUUCUCAACAGUAAAAAAGAAUCCAUAAGGCAAUGUAAUUAAUAUCUUCAAAGUGCUGAUGAAAAAUAAUAGUCAAUCGAGACUUCCAUAUCUUUCAAGAAUGACAGCAAAAUAAAGAUACAUUCAGACAAGUCAAAAUUGAGUUUGUUCCAGAAGUCUCUCACUAAAGAAAAUUCUCAAGGAUUUAUGUGAGGGAAAAGGAAAGAGACUUCAGUUGGGAUGUCUGAGAAGCAAAACAGAAUGGUCACAACCAGAAUCUAAAACACCGCUGCAGGCCAGCAGUCAUAGAGUUAUUCUGAGCAUUAAACGUGAAGAGCUGAAGUGCCCUAUAUAUAUGUGUUAGUAUGAGGAACAGAAAGGAACUUCUUAAACCUGUUAAAAGCCCUCUACAAAUCCAAAAGCAGUGUGUCAAUAGCCAAAUUCCUGUUGUUCCUAUUCAAACCUGAAACCUUCCCCAUCUCAGUGGGCCAGCUGGCAACUUCAGCCUUCCUUUGUUCAGUAAUUCUUAACUCCUCUCUGCCUCUUACAUCUGACAUUCUAACUCUCAGGAAAUCUCAUUAACUGUGUAUUCAGAAAGUAUCAAGAUCUGAGCCCCUCCAGAUCACCACGUUCAGAGUCGCAACCAUGUCUCACUUAGAGGGUUGGAGCUUCCUGGAUGGCUUCUCUGUGUCUGUGUUGGGUGGCCUUGUUCUACCUAAUGACCUAAUUUAAAAUUUGCAAUAUCUCCCCAGACCUGAGCCACCUUUCUCUGCACUGUUCCCCCAAUGACAAGCACCACCUUCUAGAAUGCUAUAUAAUAUAGUUACAUGUUAUACUGAUUGCUUAUUUUCUCUCUUCACGCCUACCUUUGUAAAAUGUAAGCUUUAUGAAGUAUGAGAUUUCUGCUGGCUUUUGUUUUGCUGGUUUUUUACUGGCAUAUGCUGAGCCAUGUCUGACUAUGUGUUGAAUGAGUGAAAAGUUACAAGUAUCUUUCAUAAGAUCAGGACCAAAAUAAGCAAAUGUAGUAAAGUACACUAACAAAAUGUUACAAUGUAAAACUGGAAUAAAAUAAACCAAAUUGUCAUUAUUUUUAGAAAAUACGAUCAUCUAUAAAGAAAUCUUAAGUAGUCAACAGAUAAAAUAUUACAAUCUCAGUAAUAAGAGAAUUUGGCAAAAUUAUGAAUACAAAAUCAAUAUACAGAGGUAUAAUUGCGUUUCUAUUCUACAACAGAGUUAUUUAAAUAAUUAAAGACACCAUUUAAAUAGAAAAGAAACAUAUAUAACCUUAGAAUUAACUUAGAAUAUUUUAAGCAUUCUAUUAAAAUAAUAUCUCACCAAAGAUGUGUAAGACAUUUAAAAGCAGAUAUUAAAGAAGAUCUAAGUAAAAUGAGAGUUACAUCAAAUUUUUGAAUUUGAACAUAUAUCAAUUCUUCAGAAACUGUUCUAUCAAUUCAGUCUAAUUCCAAUACAUUUCUCAGCUGUUUUUCACAAACAUCUAAACAUAAAAAUAUUUAGAAACAUUUAGCUAUUUCUAAAAUUUAGAAGAAAAUAUAAAUGACCAAGGAUUGCCAAAGCUCUCUUGAAGAACAAGGUAGAAGUAAUUGCCCUACUGGAUAUCAAAGCUUAUUAUAAAGUAAUGGUAAUAAAGUUAUAAAUAUUUAAGCAAGUAAUAGUAACCAAAGUGUAUUGUAAAGUGGUAGUAAUUAAAACAGUGUGACAUUAAGACCAAGGUGAACAUUCAGGGAGCCCAGAAAGAGAUCCACAUAUAUGCAGAUGAUAUAUGACAGAGCGUGCAUGGCAGAUGAGUGGGGAAAGAAUGAAGUCUAUAGUAAGUGGUAUUCAUAUGGAAAAUAUUGACAUUUCUAUUAACCUCUUCAGAAAAAAUGUAAGAAAAUCCUAUGACCUAUAAGCGAAAGGAUUUCUUAAAUAAGACCCCAAAAAACAGAAUGGAUAAUUAUACAAGAUGGAUAAUUGUAACUACAUUAAAACGAAAAAGUUUCUAUUUCUCAAAAGAUACCAUAAAGUGAAAUGGCAAGCCACACACUGAGAGACAAUAUUUUCACCACUUAAAAUGGAUGAAGGAUUAGUAUACAAAGUAUGUGUGUGUGCACACGUGUGUGUAUAUAGAUAUAGUUUACUAAUCACAAGAAAAAGACAAACAACUCGAUGGAAAAAUUGGCCCCCAAAGAGGGCUUAAAUGACAGAAAACAAAAAAAAAAGACAGAAAUAGACACAGGAAUGGCCCACAAAAAUCUGAAAUGAGGCUCAACAGCAUGGAAUAAACUUAUUUUCCAUGGGUUUCCGUUUGAUUCCAUGCCUUUCCUUAGAAAUCCAAGAUAACAUACUGAUCUCUCCACAUAUCCACAAAUUAAACACAAAUGGAAAUAUCUGUUGAGUCCCCUGUUACCUUUUUGUAUUUUUUGUAGCAUUUACUAAAACAAAGCUUUGUAUGACAUGAGAACAGUAUGUAUCAGAAAAAUGAAAAUUAAAUCCACAAUUUAAAAUCUACUUUACUACUACCAAAUUAGCAAAAAUUUAAGUCUAGUGAUAUCCAAUGUUGGUAAGGAAGUAGAACAAUGAGAACAAAUACAUGCCAGUGACAGGGGAAACUGGUGCAAAUGCAUUGAAGUACACUUUGGUAUUCCCUUGCAAAGCUGGACAUCGGAAUACCUAUAACUAAGCAAACCCCCAGAGAAAAUAUUGCUCAUGUAUACCAGGAGGUGUAUGAGGAUGUUUAGAGUAGCACCGUUCAUAAUAACAAAGAGAAGUAAUGACUUGGAAUACCUAGCCAUAGUAGCACUGACAAAUCAAUUGCAAAAUAUCUUUAAAGUGGAACGCUAAAGAGCAGUGAAAAUAAAUUAACUAAUAAAUUAACUAGAGCACUGUGGUUCAUUCUAUAUACAUAGAUUAUUAUACCAUUAGAAAAACAAAGGAAUGAUUAAUGUAAAACUCAGGAAAAUGGAUAACUCUAUAGAGAAUGCAGUCAGAAAGGGACAUAAAGGGAUCAGUAAAAUAAUAAUGGUCUAUUUUAUAUGCUGAAUGCUAACUUAGUACAAGGAAUGUUUUAACUCUACAUAAUUUACUUAUGUGCACAUUUUGUUUCUCACAGCAGCAUGGAAUAAGCUUAUUUUCCCAUGGGUUUCUGUUUGAUUCUAUGCCUUUCCUUAGAAACCCGAGAUAACAUAUCUCUGCACACAUCCACAAAUUAAAUACAAGUGGAAGUAUCUACUGAGUCCAUCUUUGGCUUUUUGUAAUUUUUGUGUAGCAUUUACUAAAGCAAAGUUUUAUGUGAUAUGAGAACAAAUGUUGGAUUCCAAUUGUAAAAACCCUAUCAGAAGCAAAAUAGGCAACUAGAGAUGAACAUGGAGCAUGAGUGGUUUUCCAAGGAAAAUGUCAGUCUUAUCGUUCUAAUUACAAGAAGCCAGUGCUACUGUGUAAAUCUGAUUUACACAAACUGGACUUCAAUUAAAAUUCCAGUUUUGCAAAUUCAGGACACUAAUUCUCAAAUGCCAAUAUAAAUAGGUUAAAAAGAUAAAAACAUGAACACACAACGUGGGCAAGCAUGUAUAAAAUACAUAAAAUGAAGAUAUGUUUUAAUGUUUACUUUAUGCAAGAAUGCUGCUCUCGUAAGUUAUAUGUGCUCCAUAAAGUAUUUAAAUUACCCGGGCAUGAUAGAGGGUACCUGUAAUCCCAGCUACUCAGGAGGCUGAGGCAAGAGAAUUGCUUGAAUCCGGGAGGCGGAGGUUUCAGUGAGCUGAGAUCACACCACUGCACUCCAGCCUGGGCAACACAGUGAGAGUCCAUCCCAGAAAAAAAAAAAAAAAAAUUACAGGGCACAAUUAACAAGUCUAUAUUUUUUAGCCAACUACAACAAUUCUGCUUCACUAUUAAUUAAUAAAAGUUACAAGUAAUUUUAGCAUUCACAAGCAGUCUCUAAAGUAACACUGGAAUUUUACAAGUCACAUAAAAUGGCACUAAUAUUAAUUCUACCAAAUAUUUUACUUGCAAAUCAAUUUACCCAUGUUCUCCUAGAGCAAGUGGCAUAAUGUAGUUGCAAAUUGUAUUACAAAUAGAUUGUCUUGAAAUGAUCACUUUCAAUUCCAUGCCCCCAACUAAACAAUCUUGAGAUGUUUGCAUUCGAUUAUUUGGAAAAUAACAAUUAUAACAUGUCCUGAGGGACCAGUAAUCUAGCAAAUUAAAUCCAGUGAAAUAUAAAUUCGUCACCAUUAUCUUUUAAUAUUGGCGAACUAGAUAAGGGGAAACAAAAGCUAUUACUAAACAGAUAAAUGAAUAAGCCCAGACAUGUUGUUAACCCUCAACUAUGAUCACCCCCAUGUGUGUGGGGCCAUUGCCCAAGCCCCCUUAUUAUUCUAAAGCAAAGAAUUAAUGAGGUUUGUAGUAAAUAGGGUCUGACCCUGAAUAAAACAAUCUUAUUUUCAGCUUCAACCUCGCAAUAUAGCGCUUCCUAAAUAUGCUUUCGGGUUCACUAAACUUUGUUAUCCUUGCUCAGACUAAAGUGACUCAGGAGGCAGAGGGAAAUGGCUUGAUUCUCUAAACUGUGAAAUCAAAGUAAAGUCUUUGUCAUCUCAGGAGCUCAUGCUUCCAGUGUCUCCUCUCCAAGCCUGUGCCAAGGUAAACGGGCAAGUAAGUAUGUUAUGCAGCCACAAACCAAACAAACUAAUCCAAAUUUCUGGAACGUACCAAAUCUAGAUUAUUUUGAGAUUAUCUCAUAGAACCAUGGGUCAACAUCACCUGACUGAUGAAAGUAAGGAGUAUUCUGAAUGUCAGGCACCCCAGAAGCGAUCUAAUGUGGGGCAGGAAAUCAGCAGGCAUGCCAGGAGAAAGUCGGCCUCCUACCGUAACGCAGGCAGGGAGGGAGGGGUAUUUAAGCUGAACCUGAGGCCAGCAGGGCAUGGGAUGGUUCUGUCGUGCAGGAGGACUUCCUUGGCUGUCGCAUGACAAGCCACAAGCUGGCAGCAGAACAAAGCACCAUCCUCUCUACAGGAAAGCAACAACGGUGUUGCCUAAGAAGGGUCCCAUUCCUGGGGCCACCAGCAUCCCAGGUAAAGGUGCCUGGUAAAUUCAGGGGGAGCAUAAGAAACGCAGGAUGAGCUCUGGAAAACAGACCGUCAGUGGCAAGCCCGUGGCUCAUAUGGAAGUAUCAGCAAGGCUUGCCAGCCAUGUUUCCACACCCAAGAAAGUGACCAUCAUCAACAGUAAAGGCCACAGCUUGACAUCAAGACAAGGUGGCUGAAGGUGGGCUGAGCAAAACUGUUGAAAAUGUGAUUGGGAGGGAGCACUGCUUAUUCCCUGGAACUCUCAGGAACACGUAAGGGACACUUUGUGGUGGAGUGCCUAUGAACUACCUUCUAAGAAAGAAAUCAGUGGGACUUUAUACAUUAGUAAGCUUCGUCUAAAAAAAAAAGGGAAUGUAAACUCUACUUUUGAUUUAUAGUAGGUGCGUUUAGGCUACAUGGGGAAAACAAAACUCACCUUACAGGCUGGAGGCAAGGGUCAUAUAAGACAUGUUGAAGGCAUCGGGUGUCUACUAGGCUUUCAAAGAUUGGUUGCCAAUUUCAAUCCUCACGCAUUUCUUCUUUUCUGAAAUUACACAUUUUCACAAUUUUCAGGAAAGGAGGAAUUAAGUAUUCCUGUUUUAUUCUAGAGGAUACUAUGAUUAGGGCCUCAGUAAGCUACCUGGUAAAAUUCUCUCUAAAACUCAAGGAUACUUGAAGCACCUUGAGAAGAAGCUAAAAUAUUGUCUUCUAAUACCAUCAGUACUUACUUGCAUUCAUCAUUUUAUUAGUUGUCUAUAAGGAACACUUACAUGUUAAUCAUAUUAACACUUUGAAUGGCAUAUAAGAAGCAAUAUUUUCCAUGACUUCAAAUAAAUUCUUAUACAUUAGCAUAAGGCCACACCUCAGAGGGAAGUUGUCUCGUAAAAAGUGAGACAUUGGUUGGCAAGUAAAUAGAAUUUGCAGGGUGGCUAAUGUUGGACUGUUUUUCAGCAGGGGAAGAGAAAGAAUAGAGAUGCCCUUAAAAUAAACCAUAUGGGUCUCAAACUAUUCAUGCCACGAAUCAGGUCAGUCAUAUUUCAACCUCCUCCCUCAAGCUUAUCUCAGUGCAACUUAAGGAAGAAAUGGAAAGUACAUUUCCACCAGAAUGCAUGUCUUAUGGAGGGGCAGGGGAGAAGGCAAUUUCAUAACAGUUUCAAACUAAAGUAGUACCCCAAAGCCAGUGAUGUAUUCUGGCCCAGACUUGACAGGUUAUUUUACCUGACCAAGCCUUAUUGUUCCUCUGGAACAAUAAGCAUAUUUUCACACAUUCUAUUUUUAUUUCUCACCAAAUGUGUCAAGACUUGGUUUCUAUUAAUUAAAUUUGUAUAUAAUUGUAGAUAUGCAUGCAGUUGUAAGAAACAAUACAGGGAGAUCCAAUAUACCCUUUGCCCAAUUCCCCCAGUGGUAACACCUUGCAGAUAUUGACAAUGAUACAGUCAAGAUACAGAACAUUUCCAUCACCACAAACAUCCCUUAUGUUGAACUUUUAAAGCCACACUCACUGCCCUCUCCCUCUCCUCUGUCCUUAGCUCCUGGCAACCACACUUGUGUCUCUCUGUUUUGAUAAUUUUGUUAUUUCAAGAAUGUUUUAUAAAUGGUACUAGAUAGUAUACAACUUUUUGAGAUUGAUUUCAUUUUCUCAACAUAAUUUUCUGAAGAGUCAUCAAGGUUGUUGCAUGUAUCAAUAUACUAACAUGCAUGUAUUAACAGCUUAUUCCUUUUCAUUGUUGAGUAGUAUUCCAUGUUUUGGACAUAGCAAGGCUUGUUUAAACAUUCACUAAUUUAAAAAUAUCUUAUUUGUUUCCCAUUUGAGGCUGUUAUGAAUAAAGCUACAAUUAAGAUUUGUGUACAAAUUUUAUGUGAACAUAAACCUUCAUUCUUUUUGGAUAACUGUUGGGUCACAUGGUGCUUGUAUGUUUAGUUAUUUAAGAAACUGCCAAAUUCUUUUCCAAAGUGGCUGAAACAUUUUACAUUACCAUCAGAAAUGUAGGAGUGAUCCAUUUGUCUGCAUCCUUGCAAGUAUUUG